rnacentral:rRNA from 1 species
GCUCAGUAACACGUGGACAAUCUACCCUUAGGUGAGGGAUAACCUUGGGAAACUGAGACUAAUACCUCUUAUGUCUAGUAUGCUGGAAUGCUUCUAGGCUGAAAGCUAAGGCGCCUAAGGAUGAGUCUGCGGCCUAUCAGGUAGUAGUGGGUGUGACGGACCUACUAGCCAACGACGGGUACGGGUUGUGAGAGCAAGAGCCCGGAGAUGGAUUCUGAGACACGAAUCUAAGCCCUACGGGGCGCAGCAGGCGCGAAAACUUCACAAUGCGGGCAACCGUGAUGAGGGAAUUCCAAGUGCUGUUAUACUGUAACAGCUGUUUACAUGUCUAAAAAGCAUGUAGAGUAAGGGCUGGGCAAGACUACUGCCAGCCGCCGCGGUAAGAGUAGCGGCCCGAGUGGUGUUCAUUUUUAUUGGGCCUAAAGCGUCCGUAGCCGGUUUAGUAAAUUCUUGGGUAAAUAGAACGGCUUAACCGUUCUCCUUCCGAGAAGACUGCUAGACUUGGGACUGGGAGAGGUCAGAGGAACUCUUGGGGUAAUGGGGUGGAAUCUGAUGAUCCUAAGAGGACCACCAGUGGCGAAGGCGUCUGACCAGAACGGCCCCGACGGUGAUGGACGAAGCCCUGGGGCGCGAACCGGAUUAGAUACCCGGGUAGUCCAGGGUGUAAACGCUGCAGGCUGGGUGUUGGAUAUCCUACGAGGGUGUCCAGUGCCGAAGAGAAGUCAAUAAGCCUGCCGCCUGGGGAGUACGGUCGCAAGACUGAAACUUAA